rnacentral:rRNA from 1 species
AUGAAGACCUUCCUCGUCUUUGCCCUCCUCGCCGUUGUGGCAACAAGUGCCAUUGCGCAGAUGGAUACUAGCUACAUCCCUGGUUUGGAGAGACCAUGGCAGCAGCAACCAUUACCACCACAACAGACAUUUCCACAACAACCACCAUUUUCACAAUAACAACAACAACAACAACAACAACCAUUUCCUCAACAACCAUCAUUUUCACAGCAACAACCACCAUUUUCACAGCAACAACCAAUUCUACCACAGGGACCACCAUUUUCACAGCAAACACAACCUGUUCUACCGCAACAAUCACCAUUUUCACAGCAACAACAACUAAUUUUACCUCCACAACAACAACAACAGCUUCCGCAACAACAAAUCUCUAUUGUUCAACCAUCCGUUUUGCAGCAGCUAAACCCAUGCAAGGUAUUCCUCCAGCAGCAGUGCAGCCCUGUGGCAAUGCCACAACGUCUUGCUAGGUCGCAAAUGUGGCAGCAGAGCCGUUGCCAUGUGAUGCAGCAACAAUGUUGCCAGCAGUUGUCGCAAAUCCCCGAACAAUCCCGCUAUGAUGCAAUCCGUGCCAUCACCUACUCCAUCAUCCUACAAGAACAACAACAGGGUUUUGUCCAAGCUCAGCAGCAACAACCCCAACAGUCAGGUCAAGGUGUCUCCCAAUCCCAACAGCAGUCGCAGCAGCAGCUCGGACAAUGUUCUUUCCAACAACCUCAACAGCAACUGGGUCAACAGCCUCAACAACAACAGGUACAACAGGGUACCUUUUUGCAGCCACACCAGAUAGCUCACCUUGAGGUGAUGACUUCCAUUGCGCUCCGUACCCUGCCAACGAUGUGCAGUGUCAAUGUGCCAUUGUACAGCUCCACCACUAGUGUGCCAUUCGGAGUUGGCACCGGAGUUGGUGCCUACUGAUAA